GUGCUCACUUAGGCAACACAUAUACUAAAAUUGGAAAGAUACAUAAAAGAUGAGCAUGGCCCCUGCGCAAGGAUGACACAAAUUCAUGAAGCGUUCUGUAUUUUU
ensembl:snRNA U6 U6 spliceosomal RNA